GCCCGGCUAACUCAGUCGGUAGAGUGUGAGAAUCUUAAUCUCAGGGUUGUGGGUUUGAGCCCCACGUUGGGCG
rfam:Xenopus tropicalis strain Nigerian Chr03_contig_3557, whole genome shotgun sequence.